AUGGAACUAGACAAAUUCCUCAUGAAUGGUGAGUACACCUUCGUCGGAUUCGCCAGUGAAGGAGAUAGAAGCAAGCUGAAGCUAUCUGGUUUGGAGAUCAACUCCGACAACUACAUUGAUAUUCAGGUGGAAUGGAGAGACCCAUACAAUAAAAAGAAGUUUGACUCUUUGGCUGAUGUUGCCGGCAGGAUGAUAGACAUUCACUACCAUGACAUGAAGAAUAAAAUUAACCGCAAGGAGGACCAUACUCUGUGGGGAUUCUGCCCACUGCCAGAAAAGCUUAUCAAGUAUGCAGCAAUAGAUGCAUUCGCAACAUAUGAGUCAUGGAGAAUCAUCUACGAUGUCAUCAUGGGACUGGACAGGGCAAAAAGAGACAAAGAAGCAAAGCAGAAGAAGAACAACGUUGUAAUCCAAUACAUCAACUAG
rnacentral:rRNA from 1 species